rnacentral:rRNA from 1 species
AGCAGCCGCGGUAAUUCCAGCUCCAAUAGCGUAUAUUAAAGUUGUUGCAGUUAAAAAGCUCGUAGUUGAAUUUCGGGGUUAGUAGGUUGGUCAUGCCUCUGGUAUGUACUGGUCUCACUGAUUCCUCCUUCCUGAUGAACCUUAAUGCCAUUAAUUUGGUGUUUUGGGGAAUUUGGACCGUUACUUUGAAAAAAUUAGAGUGUUUAAAGCAAGCUAACGCUUGAAUACAUUAGCAUGGAAUAAUGAAAUAGGACGUUCGAUCCUAUUUUGUUGGUUUCUAGGAUUGACGUAAUGAUUAAUAGGGAUAGUUGGGGGCAUUAGUAUUCAAUUGUCAGAGGUGAAAUUCUUGGAUUUAUUGAAGACUAACUACUGCGAAAGCAUUUGCCAAGGAUGUUUUCAUUAAUCAAGAACGAAAGUUAGGGGAUCGAAGACGAUCAGAUACCGUCGUAGUCUUAACCAUAAACUAUGCCGACUAGGGAUCGGAUGAUGUUAAUUUUUUAAUGACUC